GGUGACAGGACCCGGGGGUGACAGGGUCAGGGGCCUGACAGGGCCCAGGCAGGGUGGCAGGGGCUGGAGGUGACAGGCUCGGGGAGGUGGCAGGGCCCGGAGGUGACAGGGCCCGGAGGUGACAGGCUCGGGGAGGUGACAGGGCCCGAGGUGGUGGCAGGGCCCGGAGGUGACAGGGCCCGGAGGUGACAGGGCCCGGAGGUGACAGGCUCGGGGAGGUGACAGGCUCGGGGAGGUGACAGGGCCCGAGGCGGUGGCAGGGCCCGGAGGUGACAGGCUCGGGGAGGUGACAGGGCCCGAGGCGGUGGCAGGGCCCAGAGGUGACAGGGCCCAGAGGUGACAGGGCCCGAGGCGGUGGCAGGGCCCAGAGGUGACAGGGCCCGGAGGUGACAGGGCCCGGAGGUGACAGGCUCGGGGAGGUGACAGGGCCCGGACGUGGCAG